rfam:Tupaia chinensis contig164992, whole genome shotgun sequence.
AUGCUCGCUUGGGCAGCACAUACGCUAAACCGGAACAAUACAGAGUUUAGCAUGGCCCCUGCACAGGGGUGACGCGCGAAUCUGCGAAGCAUUUCCUAUUUUU